rnacentral:rRNA from 1 species
CCUACGGGAGGCAGCAGUGAGGAAUAUUGGUCAAUGGCCGCAAGGCUGAACCAGCCAAGUAGCGUGAAGGAUGACUGCCCUAUGGGUUGUAAACUUCUUUUAUGUGGGGAUAAAGGUGUCCACGUGUGGAUGUUUGCAGGUACCGCAUGAAUAAGGAUCGGCUAAUUCCGUGCCAGCAGCCGCGGUAAUACGGAGGGUCCGGGCGUUAUCCGGAUUUAUUGGGUUUAAAGGGAGCGUAGGCGGGUUUUUAUGCGUGCUGUGAAAUUUUGUGGCUCAACCGUGAAAGUGCGGUUGAAACUGGAGACCUUGAGUGCGCGAAAGGCAGGCGGAAUUCGUGGUGUAGCGGUGAAAUGCUUAGAUAUCACGAAGAACCCCGAUUGCGAAGGCAGCCUGCCGGAGCGUAACUGACGCUGAAGCUCGAAAGCGCGGGUAUCGAACAGGAUUAGAUACCCUAGUAGUC